GGGGGAUAUUGCACAAUGGGGGAAACCCUGAUGCAGCGACGCCGCGUGAGUGAAGAAGUAUUUCGGUAUGUAAAGCUCUAUCAGCAGGGAAGAAAGUGACGGUACCUGAAUAAGAAGCCCCGGCUAACUACGUGCCAGCAGCCGCGGUAAUACGUAGGUUGCAAGCGUUGUCCGGAUUUACUGGGUGUAAAGGGCGUGUAGGCGGAGAUGCAAGUUGGGAGUGAAAUCCAUGGGCUCAACCCAUGAACUGCUCUCAAAACUGUGUCCCUUGAGUAUCGGAGAGACAAGCGGAAUUCCUAGUGUAGCGGUGAAAUGCGUAGAUAUUAGGAGGAACACCAGUGGCGAAGGCGGCUUGCUGGACGACAACUGACGCUGAGGCGCGAAAGCGUGGGGAGCAAACAGGAUUAGAUACCCUGGUAGUCCACGCUGUAAACGAUGAAUACUAGGUGUGGGAGGACUGACCCCUUCCGUGCCGCAGUUAACACAAUAAGUAUUCCACCUGGGGAGUACGACCGCAAGGUUGAAACUCAAAGGAAUUGACGGGGGCCCGCACAAGCAGUGGAUUAUGUGGUUUAAUUCGACGCAACGCGAAGAACCUUACCAAAUCUUGACAUCCCUCUGACCGGGACUUAACCGUCCCUUUCCUUCGGGACAGGGGAGACAGGUGGUGCAUGGUUGUCGUCAGCUCGUGUCGUGAGAUGUUGGGUUAAGUCCCGCAACGAGCGCAACCCCUAUUGUUAGUUGCUACGAAAGAGCACUCUAGCGAGACUGCCGUUGACAAAACGGAGGAAGGCGGGGACGACGUCAAAUCAUCAUGCCCCUUAUGUCCUGGGCUACACACGUAAUACAAUGGCGGUCAACAGAGGGAGGCAAAGCCGCGAGGGGGAGCAAAUCCCUAAAAGCCGUCUCAGUUCGGAUUGCAGGCUGCAACUCGCCUGCAGGAAGCUGGAAUUGCUGGUAAUCGCGGAUCAGCAGGCCGCGGGGAAUAGGUUCCCG
rnacentral:rRNA from 1 species